rnacentral:rRNA from 1 species
UACGUAGGGAGCAAGCGUUGUUCGGAUUUACUGGGCGUAAAGGGUGCGUAGGCGGCUCUAUAAGUCUGGUGUGAAAUCUCCCGGCUUAACUGGGAGGGUGCGCUAUAGACUGUGUGGCUAGAGUGUGGGAGAGGAAAGUGGGAUUCCUGGUGUAGCGGUGAAAUGCGCAGAUAUCAGGAGGAACACCGGUGGCGAAGGCGGGUCUCUGGGCCGAUACUGACGCUGAGGAGCGAAAGCGUGGGGAGCGAACAGG